rnacentral:sRNA from 1 species
CCUCGGGGACCUGCUGCGGGCAGAUGAAGUGCACGUGGGUGUCGAUCGCGCCGGCAGUGAGGAUCUUCCCGUUCCCGGCGAUGAUCUCGGUACUCGGCCCGAUCACCAGAUCCGGGUGGACGCCGUCCAUGAUGUCGGGGUUGCCGGCCUUGCCGAGGGCGGCGAUGCGGCCGUCGCGGAUGCCGACAUCCGCCUUCACCACACCCCAGUGGUCCAGGACGAUCACACCGGUGAUCACCACGUCGGGUGCGCCCUGGGCCCGGGUGGCGCGGGCCUGGCCCAUCGACUCGCGGAUG